UACGGAGGGUGCGAGCGUUGUCCGGAAUCACUGGGCGUAAAGGGCGCGUAGGCGGCCUGAUAAGUAGGGGGGUGAAAAUCCUGCGGCUUAACCGCAGGGCUGCCUUCUAAACUGUCAGGCUAGAGCACGGUAGAGGCAGAUGGAAUUCCCCGGUGUAGCGGUGGAAUGCGUAGAGAUCGGGAAGAACAUCAGUGGCGAAGGCGGUCUGCUGGGCCGUGCUGACGCUGAGGCGCGACAGCGUGGGAGCAAACAGG
rnacentral:rRNA from 1 species